rnacentral:lncRNA from 1 species
AGAAGUCUGGGGAAGAGCCGGCGAAGAGCAAAGAGAUAAUACAGUACUCCCAGCUAUAGCAAGCGGCAGUUAUGGAGCAUGCGCAGCAGCAGGGGCGGCCGCAGGUCGCCGUUCAAUAAUACUCAAGGGAUUUGUACAGCCCUGUAGGAGACACCUCCAGAGAAAGUAACAGCUCUCAAUUGAUUAGCUGAGGAGACCGAUUUUGUAAAUCACUACUUUUCUAACAACACUGGCACAGAUGGCCAAGCAUUCUCCCUUUUCUCAGAGCUGGUUUUCCAUCCCGGAAAGAGAAUAAACAGAUGCUUUUACAGCUCGCCUUGGCGGGAAGAUCUGGCACAAAUGAAGUAUCUAUAAGGAGCAGCAGAGUCAAGGUGGUGAUCCUGUGGAUGAA